GGCACAUACACACAGACAGACAUUAAAACAUUCACAGAAACAUACUGACACACACAUACACUGACACACAAAUAUAUCCUGGCAGACAUACUGACACACACGUACACACACGUACACACACACACACACAGACAUACUGGCAUACACACAGACAUACUGACACACACACACACACAGACAUACUGGCAUACACACAGACAUACUGACACACACACACACACAGACAUACACAGACAUACACACACACACACACACACUGACAUACACACACAGACAUACUGGCAUACACACAGACAUACUGACACACACACACAGAGACAUACUGGCAUACACACAGACAUACUGACACACACACAGACAUACUGGCAUACACACAGACAUACUGACACACACACACACACACAGACAUACUGGCAUACACACACAGACAUACUGACACACACACACACAGACAUACUGACACACACAGACACAGACAUACUGGCAUACACACAGACAUACACACACAGACAGACCUACUGACAUACAUUUAGCCACCCUCCAGGUUCUUAACUUUUUCUGGAGGGUGGUUUCCCUGGUCCAGUGGCAGGCUGAGGCAGAUGGGAGUUCUCCUCUGGAACUCCCCUCCUCCCGCGCGGCUAUCUCCGGUGGGAGGAAGUGACGUCACUUCCUCCCAGCCGGCUGCAGAACCGGAAGAGGGGCCCGGUCGCGCUGUUUAAGUGCCACAGCGCCCGACCGGGC